CCAAACAUGCCCACGAAAGUGCCAUCGAAACAGAAGAUCUUUAAAGGAAUGCAUAUUUAAGUGUAUAUAAUGGGUGACAAUUUGGAUGAGCACUUAGAUAUAAAAGUAACUCUAAUGAA